rnacentral:rRNA from 1 species
AGUUGUACGAGUUCAGACUCGUAGCAGAUAGCUCAGUAACACGUGGGCAAACUACCCUAUAGAUCCAGACAACCUCGGGAAACUGAGGCUAAUCCGGAAUAGGGCUCUCAUCCUGGAGUGGAGAGAGCCUGAAACGCUCCGGCGCUAUAGGAUGUGGCUGCGGCCGAUUAGGUAGACGGUGGGGUAACGGCCCACCGUGCCAGUAAUCGGUACGGGUUGUGAGAGCAAGAGCCCGGAGACGGUAUCUGAGACAAGAUACCGGGCCCUACGGGGCGCAGCAGGCGCGAAACCUUUACACUGCACGCCAGUGCGAUAAGGGGACUCCAAGUGCGAGGGCAUAUAGUCCUCGCUUUUUGCGACCGUAAGGUGGUCGCGGAAUAAGUGCUGGGCAAGACCGGUGCCAGCCGCCGCGGUAAUACCGGCAGCACGAGUGAUGACCGCUGUUAUUGGGCCUAAAGCGUCCGUAGCUGGCCGCGCAAGUCUAUCGGGAAAUCUCUCCGCUUAACGGAGAGGCGUCCGGUGGAAACUGUGUGGCUUGGGACCGGAAGACCAGAGGGGUACGUCUGGGGUAGGAGUGAAAUCCCGUAAUCCUGGACGGACCACCGGUGGCGAAAGCGCCUCUGGAAGACGGAUCCGACGGUGAGGGACGAAAGCUCGGGUCACGAACCGGAUUAGAUACCCGGGUAGUCCGAGCUGUAAACGAUGUCUGCUAGGUGUGA